rnacentral:rRNA from 1 species
AUUGAACGCUAGCGGCAGGCCUAACACAUGCAAGUCGGGCGAGUGGCGGACGGGUGAGUAAUGUAUGGGGAUCUGCCUGAUGGAGGGGGAUAACUACUGGAAACGGUAGCUAAUACCGCAUACCAUCAGAUGUACCCAUAUGGGAUUAGCUUGUAGGUACGGUAACGGCUUACCUAGGCGACGAUCCCUAGCUGGUCUGAGAGGAUGAUCAGCCACACUGGAACUGAGACACGGCCCAGACUCCUACGGGAGGCAGCAGUGGGGAAUAUUGCACAAUGGGCGCAAGCCUGAUGCAGCCAUGCCGCGUGUAUGAAGAAGGCCUUCGGGUUGUAAAGUACUUUCAGUCGGGAGGCGUUACCGACAGAAGAAGCACCGGCUAACUCCGUGACAGCAGCCGCGGUAAUAC